GGACUGGGGCGCUCCUCAGCCUGGCUGCACCCCGACGUCAGCGUCUUCCUCAUCCUCCUCCUCUUCUUCGUCAUGAAGUUCUGGAUGUCYGCUGUUUCCACGACGAUGCCCAUCCCGUCUGGAGCCUUCAUGCCAGUGUUCAUACUGGGGGCAGCAUUUGGGCGUCUGGUAGGGGAGAUCAUGGCCACUCUCUUCCCAAACGGUAUCCUGUUUGAUGGGAUAGUUUAUCGCAUCCUCCCCGGGGGCUAUGCUGUCA